rnacentral:misc_RNA from 1 species
AAGUCGUAACAAGGUAACCGUAGGUGAACCUGCGGUUGGAUCAUUAAUAAAGAAUUUGUGUCGCAUCGGCCUUUUGGGUUGACGCGACAUACAAAUUUAUCACCCCCCUUUGUGAACUGUUUCCCGUAUUUUGGUGGCUCACUAAAACAGCAACCUGGGCCGUCAGGCUCCGGGGAGCUAGAGCCGCCAGUCAAUAUCCACACCAAUGUUUUAUUUUAUACAUCAUGUCUCCAAAAGAUUCCUCGAAUCUUUGUUUUUAUAAUAAAAAACAACUUUUGACAACGGAUCUCUUGGCUCUC